UUGCUUAAGUCACGGUAACGUCAAAGUGCUUACAGUGCAGGUAGUACUAUGGGAUAUCUACUGCAGUGGAGGCACUUCUAGCAUUACAGUGACCA
ensembl:miRNA mir17a-1 microRNA 17